rnacentral:rRNA from 1 species
CAAUAGCGUAUAUUUAAGUUGUUGCAGUUAAAAAGCUCGUAGUUGGAUUUCGGGUGGGACGCAGCGGUCUCGCAUUGCGUUUGUACUGCUGCAGCCCUCCUUCUUGCCGGGGGCGGCCUCUCGGACUUCACUGUCUGGGGGUCAGAAUCGGCGAUGUUACUUUGAGUAAAUUAGAGUGUUCAAAGCAAGCUUACGCUCUGAAUAUAAUAGCAUGGGAUAACACGACAGGACUCUAGCCUAUCGUGUUGGUCUAUAGGACCAGAGUAAUGAUUAAGAGGGACAGUCGGGGGCAUUCGUAUUCCGUUGUCAGAGGUGAAAUUCUUGGAUUUACGGAAGACGAACAUCUGCGAAAGCAUUUGCCAAGGAUGUUUUCAUUGA